GGGAAACGUAAAUAGGUACAAUCAGAAAUCAUGGUUGAACUACAUGGAGGAUUAGGUUACCUAUGCAAAAGAGCAAAAUAAACUUGGUAUACAAGAAGCAAGGCAUCAAACUCCAAGAGCAAAAUAACAGAUCAUGUGUAGAAGACUAGUUGGGACAAAAGAUCCUAAAACCACCAACACAUUAUGCCCCAACUCCCCCUGUGAUAUACUCUUAAUAUAUUAUCGUCUUAUUUACACAAUAUGAAGGUAGAUCAUAGCCAUCGUUCCUUAGCUUAUAGAUGCUGAAUUUGCAUAUCAUGGGGCUAGAGCUAAUAGUAGAGUGAACCUGCAGAAAACCACUUGUUCCAAAUUUAGCAAAUUGUCAUAAUUCAUUAAUUAAAAAAAAAAUUAAUCAUUCAUUAAUUAAGAACUACAUGGCUAACAUACCCUGCCACCAAUUUCCUCUCGAAGCACUGUUUGAAUUGUUGCCAUUGGGAUCAUCAUUUCUAUCAUCUUUCUUGAGCUAUUGAUUAAAAACAAAAGGAAAAGAAAAGAAAGGAAAAUCAGUUUCUCAUACUUUCUCAAGCAAUAUUAUAAUUUGGUUAAUAAUUUCACGCUCACAAUAUGGUGAGAUUCGGAGUUGUUGGUCCUUGGAGAAUAAUUUUCUUGCCCACCAUAGUAAAUUGAUGAGCUGAAAUAACAAGGUUCUGGUGUUUCAUUUUGGUAGAUAGAACUGGUAUCUUUGCCAAUCAUGCCAGUGCUACCUCCCUUGUUGCUUUGAGUGGAAUUAUCUGGAUUCCAAGAUUUGCCAUUCCCAGCUUGAUUUCCCAUAAUUCUUGAAGGGUCCUUCCCCAGCCCCAUUGAUGGAGGAGAGAAAAUAGACCCAAAAACACUUGAUGAAGAAGAAGAAGAAGAAG
rnacentral:misc_RNA from 1 species